rnacentral:rRNA from 1 species
GGAAUAACGCUGGGAAACCGGCGCUAAUACCGCAUAUUCCCGAGAGGGGAAAGCAGCAAUGCGCUCGAGGAGGAGUCCGCGGCCGAUUAGCUAGUUGGCAGGGUAAAAGCCUACCAAGGCUAUGAUCGGUAGCCGGCCUGAGAGGGCACACGGCCACACUGGCACUGAAACACGGGCCAGACUCCUACGGGAGGCAGCAGUGGGGAAUCUUGCACAAUGGGGGAAACCCUGAUGCAGCGACGCCGCGUGAGCGAUGAAGCCCUUCGGGGUGUAAAGCUCUUUCGGCAGGGAAGAUUAUGACGGUACCUGCAGAAGCAGCUGCGGCUAACUACGUG